UAGUCCACGCCGUAAACGAUGGAUGCUAGCUGUUCGAGAGCAAUCUUGAGUGGCUAAGCGAAAGUGAUAAGUAUCCCACCUGGGGAGUACGUUCGCAAGAAUGAAACUCAAAGGAAUUGACGGGGGCCCGCACAAGCGGUGGAGCAUGUGGUUUAAUUCGAUGAUACGCGAGGAACCUUACCAGGGCUUAAAUGUAGUCUGACAGGAGUGGAAACACUUUUUUCUUCGGACAGAUUACAAGGUGCUGCAUGGUUGUCGUCAGCUCGUGCCGCGAGGUGUCAGGUUAAGUCCUAUAACGAGCGCAACCCCUGUUGUUAGUUGCCAUCGAGUAAUGUCGGGAACUCUAACAAGACUGCCAGUGCAAACUGUGAGGAAGGCGGGGAUGACGUCAAAUCAUCACGGCCCUUACGUCCUGGGCCACACACGUGCUACAAUGGUAGGGACAGAGAGCAGCCACUACGCGAGUAGGAGCGAAUCUAUAAACCCUAUCUCAGUUCGGA
rnacentral:rRNA from 1 species